UGGCCAGACUCCUACGGGAGGCAGCAGUGGGGGAUAUUGCACAAUGGGGGGAACCCUGAUGCAGCGACGCCGCGUGAGCGAUGAAGUAUUUCGGUAUGUAAAGCUCUAUCAGCAGGGAAGAAAAUGACGGUACCUGACUAAGAAGCCCCGGCUAACUACGUGCCAGCAGCCGCGGUAAUACGUAGGGGGCGAGCGUUAUCCGGAUUCACUGGGUGUAAAGGGAGCGUAGACGGCCGUGCAAGCCAGGAGUGAAAGCCCGGGGCCCAACCCCGGGACUGCUCUGGAAACUGUGCGGCUUGAGUGCGGGAGGGGCAGGCGGAAUUCCUAGUGUAGCGGUGAAAUGCGUAGAUAUUAGGAGGAACACCGGCGGCGAAGGCGGCCUGCUGGACCGUAACUGACGUUGAGGCUCGAAAGCGUGGGGAGCAAACAGGAUUAGAUACCCGAGUAUC
rnacentral:rRNA from 1 species